rnacentral:rRNA from 1 species
AACGGCCAUACCAUGCUGAAUAUACCGGUUCUCGUUAGAUCACCGAAGUCAAGCAUCAUUGGGCGGUGUCAGUACUUGGGUGGGUGACCACUUGGGAACACCGCGUGUCGUU